GACGAACGCUGGCGGCGUGCUUAACACAUGCAAGUCGAACGGUGAAGCUCCAGCUUGCUGGAGUGGAUCAGUGGCGAACGGGUGAGUAACACGUGAGCAACCUGCCCCUGACUCUGGAAUAAGCGCUGGAAACGGCGUCUAAUACUGGAUACGAGAAGGGCCCGCAUGGGCACUUUCUGGAAAGUUUUUCGGUUGGGGAUGGGCUCGCGGCCUAUCAGCUUGCUGGUGAGGUAAUGGCUCACCAAGGCUACGACGGGUAGCCGGCCUGAGAGGGCGACCGGCCACACUGGGACUGAGACACGGCCCAGACUCCUACGGGAGGCAGCAGUGGGGAAUAUUGCACAAUGGGCGCAAGCCUGAUGCAGCGACGCCGCGUGAGGGAUGACGGCCUUCGGGUUGUAAACCUCUUUCAGCAGGGAAGAAGCGAAAGUGACGGUACCUGCAGAAGAAGCACCGGCUAACUACGUG
rnacentral:rRNA from 1 species